rnacentral:tRNA from 1 species
GCCACGGUGGUCUAGCGGUUAGGACGCUGGCCUUGUAAUCCUGGGGUCUCGGGUUCGAUUCCUGGCGGUGCCC